rnacentral:rRNA from 1 species
UACGUAGGGAGCGAGCGUUGUCCGGAUUUAUUGGGCGUAAAGAGCUCGUAGGCGGUUUGGUAAGUCGGGUGUGAAAGCUCCGGGCUCAACUCGGAGAGGUCACUCGAUACUGCCAUGACUAGAGUGCGGUAGGGGAGACUGGAAUUCCUGGUGUAGCGGUGGAAUGCGCAGAUAUCAGGAGGAACACCGAUGGCGAAGGCAGGUCUCUGGGCCGCAACUGACGCUGAGGAGCGAAAGCAUGGGGAGCGAACAGG